UUUAUGGAGAGUUUGAUCCUGGCUCAGGAUGAACGCUGGCGGCGUGCCUAAUACAUGCAAGUCGAGCGAACGGACGAGAAGCUUGCUUCUCUGAUGUUAGCGGCGGACGGGUGAGUAACACGUGGAUAACCUACCUAUAAGACUGGGAUAACUUCGGGAAACCGGAGCUAAUACCGGAUAAUAUUUUGAACCGCAUGGUUCAAAAGUGAAAGACGGUCUUGCUGUCACUUAUAGAUGGAUCCGCGCUGCAU
rnacentral:rRNA from 1 species